rnacentral:rRNA from 1 species
UACGUAGGGUGCAAGCGUUUGUCCGGAAUUAUUGGGCGUAAAGAGCUCGUAGGCGGUUUGUCGCGUCUGCUGUGAAAACUGGGGGCUCAACCCCCAGCCUGCAGUGGGUACGGGCAAACUAGAGUGCGGUAGGGGAGAUUGGAAUUCCUGGUGUAGCGGUGGAAUGCGCAGAUAUCAGGAGGAACACCAAUAGCGAAGGCAGCUCGCUGGGACGGUACUGACGCUAAGGCGCGAAAGCGUGGGGAGCGAACAGG